rnacentral:rRNA from 1 species
CUACGGGCCGCAGCAGUGAGGAAUAUUGCACAAUGGGGGGAACCCUGAUGCAGCAACGCCGCGUGGAGGAUGACGCAUUUCGGUGUGUAAACUCCUUUUAUAUGUCAAGAAAGUGACGGUAGCAUAUGAAUAAGCACCGGCUAACUCCGUGCCAGCAGCCGCGGUAAUACGGAGGGUGCAAGCGUUACUCGGAAUCACUGGGCGUAAAGGACGCGUAGGCGGGUUGGAAAGUCAGGUGUGAAAUCCUACAGCUUAACUGUAGAACUGCACUUGAAACUUCUAAUCUAGAGUAUGGGAGGGGGAGAUGGAAUUAGUGGUGUAGGGGCAAAAUCCGUAGAUAUCACUAGGAAUACCUAAAGCGAAGGCGAUCUCCUGGAACAUUACUGACGCUAAGGCGUGAAAGCGUGGGGAGCAAACAGGAUUAGAUACCCUUGUAGUC